rnacentral:rRNA from 1 species
AACGAACGCUGGCGGCAUGCCUAACACAUGCAAGUCGAACGAGACCUUCGGGUCUAGUGGCGCACGGGUGCGUAACGCGUGGGAAUCUGCCCUUGGGUUCGGAAUAACAGUUAGAAAUGACUGCUAAUACCGGAUAAUGUCUUCGGACCAAAGAUUUAUCGCCCAGGGAUGAGCCCGCGUAGGAUUAGCUAGUUGGUGAGGUAAAGGCUCACCAAGGCGACGAUCCUUAGCUGGUCUGAGAGGAUGAUCAGCCACACUGGGACUGAGACACGGCCCAGACUCCUACGGAGGCAGCAGU